UACGUAGGGUGCGAGCGUUGUCCGGAAUUAUUGGGCGUAAAGAGCUUGUAGGCGGUUUUGUCGCGUCUGCUGUGAAAAUCCGGGGCUCAACCCCGGACUUGCAGUGGGUACGGGCAGACUAGAGUGUGGUAGGGGGAGACUGGAAUUCCUGGUGUAGCGGUGAAAUGCGCAGAUAUCAGGAGGAACACCGAUGGCGAAGGCAGGUCUCUGGGCCACUACUGACGCUGAGAAGCGAAAGCAUGGGGAGCGAACAGG
rnacentral:rRNA from 1 species